ensembl:lncRNA
UCCCAGUCCCUCCCAGUCCCUCCCAGUAUAUCCCAGUAUGGCUCCCAGUCCCUCCCAUAUGAUCCCAGUCCCUCCCAGUCCCUCCCAGUAUAUCCCAGUCCCUCCCAGUAUGACUCCCAUUCCCUCCCAGUCCAUCCCAGUCCCAUCCCAGUCCCUCCCAGUCCCUCCCAGUAUAUCCCAGUAUGACUCCCAGUCCCUCCCAGUAUAUCCCAGUAUAUCCCAGUAUGACUCCCAGUCCCUCCCAGUCCCUCCCAGUCCCUCCCAGUAUAUCCCAGUAUGGCUCCCAGUCCCUCCCAGUAUAUCCCAGUAUGACUCCCAGUCCCUCCCAGCCCCACCCAGCCCCUCCCAGUCCCUCCCACCCCAUCCCAGUCCCUCCCAGUAUAUCCCAGUAUAUCCCAGUCCCUCCCAGUAUGACUCCCAUUCCCCCCCAGCCCCUCCCAUCCCCUCCCAGUCCCUCCCAGUAUAUCCCAGUCCC